AACAGGUACUCACAGACACAUACAGGAGUACAAACAGGUACUCACAGACACAUACAGGUGUACAAACAGGUUCUCACAGACACAUACAGGUGUACAAACAGGUUCUCACAGACACAUACAGGUGUACAAACAGGUUGUCACAGACACAUACAGGUGUACAAACAGGUUGUCACAGACACAUACAGGUGUACAAACAGGUUGUCACAGACACAUACAGG